UAGGGAAUUUUGCGCAAUGGGGGAAACCCUGACGCAGCAACACCGCGUGAAUGUUAAGCCCUUCGGGGUGUAAAGUUCUGUCAGUAGGGACGAAAUUUGACUGUACCUACAAAGGAAGCACCGGCUAACUCCGUGCCAGCAGCCGCGGUAAUACGGGGGGUGCAAGCGUUGUCCGGAAUUACUGGGCGUAAAGCGCACGCAGGCGGCGUGACGCGUCAGAAGUGAAAUCCCCGGGCUCAACCUGGGAACUGCUUUUGAAACGGUCAUGCUUGAAUCAUGGAGAGGGUAGCGGAAUUCCGAGUGUAGAGGUGAAAUUCGUAGAUAUUAGGAGGAACACCAGUGGCGAAGGCGGCCUGCUGGGCCUUAACUGACGCUGAGGCUCGAAAGCGUGGGGAGCAAACA
rnacentral:rRNA from 1 species